rnacentral:rRNA from 1 species
UGGGGAAUAUUGCACAAUGGCCGGAAGUCUGAUGCAGCAACGCCGCGUGCGGGAUGACGGCCUUCGGGUUGUAAACCGCUUUUUCUCAUGACGAAGUUUUUUGACGGUAGUGGGGGAAGAAGCACCGGCUCACUACGUGCCAGCCGCCGCGGUGAUACGCAGGGUGCGAGCGUUGUCCGGAAUUAUUGGGCGUAAAGAGCUUGGAGUCGGUUUGUCGCGUCGAUAGUGCAAACUCAGUGCUUAACGCUGAGGCGGCUGUUGAUACGGGCAGACUAGAGGAAGGGAGGGGAGAAUGGAAUUCCCGGUGGAGCGGUGGAAUGCGCAGAGAUCGGGAGGAACAACGGGGGCGAAGGCGGUGCUCUGGGUCUUUCCUGACGCUGAGAAGCGAAAGCGUGGGGAGCGAACAGG